rnacentral:misc_RNA from 1 species
GAAACAACUGGGAAAACCAAUAAAAUCAAUACUUUCAAAGCACAACUUGUCACACUAAAAAGAACACAGGUCUAUCCUUUGGGGUAAAUGUCAAUGGAACACACAAUAAUUAACUAGAGUAAAACCCACAGAAGAGCAACACAUUUUUUUGGAAUCAGGGAAUGGGUCAUAAUACAAACUCCUGACUCAGUUGUCCCAUUACCUUAAAUACUGAGGCUCACUAACGUUUCUCUCGAUCUAUAACAUGUUUCAGUAAAGUCUCAAUGAGAGAAUGGAAAAAUCAGUCAAAAGAACUCCAAGUUAAAGCAUUAUCUAGGCAGGUAGAAUUGGAAAACAAACUGUUAUCUACUAUGAAUAUUCAAGUAUAACUAUAAGAAUAAGAGACUGAAGAUGAACUUUGAAAAAGAAAAGGGGAAAAGAAACUAAAAACAGACCAACUAUGAUAUGCAUGCAGCAAGAUGUACCUUUGCAAAGAUCCAUCCUUAUAUUAUACAGUUCAUAAAUGAUGCAAGCUUCUAGGAACCACAUGCUUAAAUCCUUAUUCAGUUCAAAAUCAGCCACCAGUAACUGCAGCCAGUUUUAUUCUGAUUACAGCUAAAGCGAUGAUGCAGGCGAGAAAUAGUAAAGCAUGAUUUUAAAUGUCACACAGAUGAGUAAUAUGCAAUCUAAGGAAUCUAUAAGAGCAAAGUUGACUCCAUAGUGGUCUUCUAUGGCACACUGGGGGCAAUUACUUUCA